rnacentral:rRNA from 1 species
UGCAAGUCGAACGGAAAGGCCCUGCUUUUGUGGGGUGCUCGAGUGGCGAACGGGUGAGUAACACGUGAGUAACCUGCCCUUGACUUUGGGAUAACUUCAGGAAACUGGGGCUAAUACCGGAUAGGAGCUCCUGCUGCAUGGUGGGGGUUGGAAAGUUUCGGCGGUUGGGGAUGGACUCGCGGCUUAUCAGCUUGUUGGUGGGGUAGUGGCUUACCAAGGCUUUGACGGGUAGCCGGCCUGAGAGGGUGACCGGCCACAUUGGGACUGAGAUACGGCCCAGACUCCUACGGGAGGCAGCAGUGGGGAAUAUUGCACAAUGGGCGGAAGCCUGAUGCAGCAACGCCGCGUGCGGGAUGACGGCCUUCGGGUUGUAAACCGCUUUCGCCUGUGACGAAGCGUGAGUGACGGUAAUGGGUAAAGAAGCACCGGCUAACUACGUGCCAGCAGCCGCGGUGAUACGUAGGGUGCGAGCGUUGUCCGGAUUUAUUGGGCGUAAAGGGCUCGUAGGUGGUUGAUCGCGUCGGAAGUGUAAUCUUGGGGCUUAACCCUGAGCGUGCUUUCGAUACGGGUUGACUUGAGGAAGGUAGGGGAGAAUGGAAUUCCUGGUGGAGCGGUGGAAUGCGCAGAUAUCAGGAGGAACACCAGUGGCGAAGGCGGUUCUCUGGGCCUUUCCUGACGCUGAGGAGCGAAAGCGUGGGGAGCG